CAGCAGCUGUAGGUGAUUUAUUGGUUCAUCAUUAGCCUUACGUGCUACUUUCUCUUGAAACAAGAAAUCUACGAAGUCUGCUCGAAAUAUCCCAGACUGAAAGAAAGACGAAAGGACUUCUUUUGGAAUAUGGAGAAGGGCCUUUCUGACAAAGAUAUUAUAGGAGGUAUGGCAUCUUCACUUCAGCGCUAUAAUAGCAAUACAGCACUCUCAGUGGACCACUCCACAAUUCUUUGGACGUGGAAUCCAUGUCCAACUAAGAGAAACCUCCCUCUUUUCCAUUUCCAUCUUAGUUUACAAUACAGAGGGACAGAGAAGCAGGAGUAAUACCGUCUGUGGGAUCUGUGGUGCCAUAACUGACACGAAGGCCUGCAACGAAUACAAGCAACAGUAGAAGUUCUGUCCCCAUGCAGCAGCUUGGAGAAGAUGGAGUUAGCACCCCCUUGCCGCCGGCCUCCGAUGAUCAGCCUGGUAUUAGAAGCCACUUAGUUUAGUGGGUCAGCACAGGAGGAACUAGCAACUACCAUGCCAUGAUCCCCUCCAUCAUGGCUUAUAGCUUGCGGGAAUCAAAUGACGAGAUUGGAAGUUGGCAAAGGAUGCUUUGCCCAAAAAGCCUCGUCUUAUCUUCAAAGCUAAUUAACAAUGGAUUGUCUCGAGAGGCUCUCUCUCUCUCUCUAUCUCUAUCUGUAUCUCUCUCUCACACACACACACUCACUUUUGUUGGGUCUGUGGAACAAUCAUUUCAGGAUCGAAGGAGAUUGGAGUGGUUCCACCGUUCCCUUUUUUCCUA